CGACCCGGCCCAUUUUUAAUCCCCCAAAAGAGACCCUAUACGCACCUGUUUUUAUCUUCACGCGAAAAUGUCUCUUCAUCUCCUAGUUCUUCCAGAUUUACUCGUACAACAACCUAUAUAUUUGUCUUUGCCAUUGUGGGAUCACUCUACGUUGCAACAAGGAUGUUUAGGAUCGAUCCCAAGUGUCCUUCCCUUUUUCUCUUGUGGAAUAGACCCAAAAAUGCAGGAAAAAAGGUGCUCGCCCAAAAGUGGCGAGGGAAUUCAAAAUUUUAGUUUUGGACAGGUUUUGAACCCGAUUCCAUACAUUCCCCCCCCCCAAAAAUAAUCGGAAAAAACUUAUUUUCCCCUCCUAUAUAACAUCUUUUUCUAUUCAUGGGGAGGUGGAGAUUUUUUAUUAGAUAUAUUUUUUGGCAGAGAAUAGAGAGGAAAAAAUUUUGGAAGGAUUUUUUGGGAAAAGAGAUACGAUUUUUCAGGCUCAAAAAACAAGGUAUAUUAACAGCAUUUGAAGAAGCACUCGAUCAGUAUGGUUUAAAACUCAACUCCGCUUGUUUUUUUUGGUUGUCGUCCGUUUCUGCACCUUCGUGAGGUGGGAGUUGACGUUCUUUUGCUCGUCGUCCGUUCACUACAUCACAAAAGAUGAUCUGACUCUAUGAAAUCUGGGUUUCAAAUCAGUGAUUAUUGCUUCCGCUUAUCAAGUGUUAAAGUGAAAGAAGUUGAAGAAAUCUCUGAAAAAUGGUUGGGGACGAUAGAGUUCAUGAUGAACCAGUAACAAAUGUCAAUCGAGCUGUCACCAUUGGUCAAAAAAUUGACUACAAUCAUCUAUUGUUCUUAUCUCCAUCAGAUGUUAGUGGACAUAAUAUCAUUUCAUUUCAGUUAACAGGUAUGGAAAAUCAUGCAAUCUGGUUUCGAUCUAUGCGUAUUGCAUUGCUGGGUAGAAAUAAACUGGGGAUGGUAGAUGGUCAUGUGAUAAAGAAAGGCGUAGUGAAAAUUUAUGGAGUCACUGGGAUCGAGUUGAUGCCAUUGUUCAAUCUUGGUUAAUGAACUCUGUUUCUAAGAGUUUACUAGGUGGCAUUAUGUAUGCAGCCACUGGAAAAGCAGUGUGGCAAGAUCUACAAGAAAGGUUCACCAAGAUAGAUGGUUCAAGAACAUUCAACAUGCAUAAGGAGAUAGACACUUUAACUCAAGUAGUAAAUUCUGUAACAGUCUAUUUCUCCAAACUCAAGACUCUUUUGGAGGAAUUUGAGGCUUUGAUACCACCACCAGGCUGUAACUGUGAAAAAUCCAAGGUGUUCAUAUUCCAUCUACAUAAACUGAAAUUGUUUCAGUUUCUCAUGGGGCUAAAUAAAUCAUAUAAUCAAGAAAAUACUGCUCAUGAGUCCAUUGCCUUCAAUCAAUCAAGCCUAUGCUAUGGUAAUGGGUGAUGAGAGUCAAAGGUCUGUGUCAACUACGAAUGGAGUGUUGGGUUCAAAUCCAAUGUCACAUACAGGCAAUUAUGAAGCUGUUAUGUACAACAUAACAAGUGGAAAUCAAAAGUUCACAAAGAACUCAUAUCUAUAUUGUGAGGUGUGUAAAAUAAGAGGACACAACAAGGAAAAUUGUUGGGAAAUAGUGGGAUAUCCACUUGAGUUCAAGUAUAAAAAGAAAAAACCCUCUGAAGGUGGGAGUGCAGCUUACAAUGUGAGUACAAAAGAGAGCACACAAAAUGAUGUACUCCAUGCUGGAAGUGGAUAAUCUGAAUUCAAGUAUGGUUCUAAUACGAAUAUAUAUAGUCAGAGCAAAAAUGCAAGUAGCAUAGAUCAAGUUCAAUCCAAGCCUAGUCAAGUUAAUGCUAAUCAUUUUACACAAGAACAAUACAAUCACAUAGUACAACUGCUAACACAACACAGUCCUCAAGUCAAAUAGGAUUCCAUGUCUAACACAGCUACAAACACUGCAUGUAUGACUAACUCAAUGGCUAUGACAGUGUCUCACAAACCUACUUGUAUUGUGGACAUAGGAGCCACAAAUCAUAUGGCUUAAAACAUAGAGUUACUAAGCAAGUUGUUAGUUAAUAAAUUAGCCUCCCAUAGAACUGUACAAUUGCCAGAUGGAGAUGAAACACAACUUACACAGACUUGUUUAAGUAGUAUAUCUGAUGGUAGUACAAUAUCUAAUGUAUUGUAUGUGCCAGAGUUUAAAUUUAAUCUGUUAUCAGUUUCAAAACUAACAAAAGAAUUGCAAUGUUUUGCUUCUUUCUUCCGUGACUUUUUUGUUUUGCAGGAUCUCUUCACUAGGAAGGUGAAGGAGAUUGGUAGAGAGGAGAAGGGGCUAUAUUUGCUACUAAAUAAAGAUGUAAGAAGCUCUAUCAGUGUAGCUGCUCAAGAGUCAAAGAGUGUGUCAACAGACAAGAUAAAUAUGAAUCUCUGGUACAAAAGAUUAGGACACACAUCUACUUGAAUAGUAAAUAAAUUGUUUGAUAUUGAACUCACUUAUAUUAGAGAAAAUAGGGGAUUGUGUAGUAUGUCCUUGUGCUAAGCAGUGUAGAUUACCUUUUCAGAAUAGCAGUAUAAAAAGUAAUAGCUAUUUUGAAUUGAUUCACGUUGAUCUGUGGGGUCCUUAAAAAACCAAUACAUAUGAUGGAAACAAAUAUUUUUUAACAAUUGUAGAUCACUAUUCAAGAUAUACAUGGAUAUCUUUUGAGACCGAAA